rnacentral:tRNA from 1 species
GUAGCUCAGGGGUAGAGCAUAACCUUGCCAAGGUUAGGGUCGAGGGUUCGAAUCCCUUC